AUGUCAGUGAGAAGGCUGGGUCCAUGCCAUGGUGGGGAGUGUGGACUGCCAAACCACUCUGUGGCGCCCCUGAGCUUUACCCUUAGAGGUCCAGUAGCUAGGGAUGUGCUGAGACUUCUAGAAGUUUUUUCGAAGGCUGCCCAGUACCCAGGUCAGAGCCCCAGGAAUUCUGUCUUGGCAGGGGGUGGAGGGACUGGAUGUAACAGGACGAUGUCACAGAGGCUGGGGGCAUCUAGAACCCCGGGGGCUCCUGGUCUCAGUGUUAUCUGCCAGGAAGGCCGCCUGGGUAGGUCAUCUCCUCCUGGGACCAGCCUUCAAGGACGGAAUGCGAGCCUGGCUGCCCCCAGGAGCCGUUUCCGUGUAGGGCCACCAGGGUCCCUGCUGCUCUGCUCAACUGCCUCUGAGCUACCCUUUCAAGUUCACCUCCAUUCCCUCCCUGGCCACGGGUCCCUUGGGAGGCCCUGGAGAUGCCCGGAGGCCUCCCAUUGGCGGUCCCCAGUGGGACCUAGCUCCACGCCGCAGCUGGAGAAGGACAGGCCAGCCAUGGGGCGGCAGCAGCCAGCUGUGGCCCUGGGGGCAGUCAGGGUCUCGCUGAUCCUGCUGGGGCUGCUCGCUCCCUCACAGGCGGUGGUACGGGCCGUGCUGGACGGCAACUUGAGCAUGGUGGACUUUGCGGAUCUGCCAGCUCUGUUCGGGGCGCCCCUGGCUCCCGGGGGCGUGCGAGGCUACCUGAUGGAGGCCAAGCCAGCCAACGCAUGUCAUCCCAUCCAGGGCCCACGGCCGGGCAACGGCUCCCUGGGUGCCAUCGUGCUGAUCCGCCGCUACGACUGCACGUUCGACCUCAAGGUGCUGCACGCGCAGCGGGCCGGCUUUGAGGCGGCUAUUGUGCACAAUGUGCGCUCCGACGACCUGGUGCGCAUGGCCCACGUGUAUGAGGACCUGCGGCAGCAGAUCGCCAUCCCCUCGGUGUUUGUGGGCGAGGCUGCUUCCCAGGACCUGCGGGUCAUCAUGCGCUGCGACAAGUCGGCCCACGUCGUCCUGCUGCCCGACUACCCGCCCCACCCGGACCUGGACUGCCACCCGGUGCUGGCCAUCUCCUGGGUGCUGGGCCGCGCCCUGGCCCUGCUCACCAGCGCUGUCUUUGUCCUGCAGCAUCUGUGGCGUUGGCUCUGGAGCUGGCGGGCCAGUGGGCAGGCCGUCAAGGCACACGCUACCCAGAGGGCCCGGGUCCGCACCUUCACCCGAUGUAACGACCUCUGCGCCAUCUGCCUGGAUGAGUACGAGGAAGGCGACUGCCUCAAGGUCCUGCCCUGCUCCCAUACCUACCACCGCAAGUGCAUCGACCCCUGGCUCUCCCAGGCUGCCCAGCGCUCCUGCCCCACGUGCAAGCAGUCGGUGGCCGGCACGGAGGACAGCUCUGCCUCCACCGUCGACAGCUACGGGGACGAGGAAGACCCCUCGCUGUCUGGCCGCCAGACCCAGAUCUGGGCUGUCCAGGCCCGGCUGCGCUCCCGGAGGCUGGCUCUGCUGACCCGAGCCACCUCCCGGCGCCGCUGUAAUGCCACCUCUGUAGGGGAGGCCGAGGCCAGUGCGCCCUUGGAGGGGCCCCCAGAACGCCACUGA
rnacentral:lncRNA from 1 species